rnacentral:rRNA from 1 species
GGCCAGCAGCCGCGGUAAUACGUAGGGGGCGAGCGUUGUCCGGAAUUACUGGGCGUAAAGCGCGCGCAGGCGGCCUGAUAAGUCAGGUGUGAAAUCUUAAGGCUCAACCUUAAGCGGUCACUUGAAACUAUCGGGCUUGAGGGCAGGAGAGGAGAGCGGAAUUCCUAGUGUAGCGGUGAAAUGCGUAGAUAUUAGGAGGAACACCAGUGGCGAAGGCGGCUCUCUGGUCUGCAACUGACGCUGAGGCGCGAAAGCUGGGGGAGCAAACGGGAUUAGAUACCCCGGUAGUCCCAGCCGUAAACUAUGGGCACUAGGUGUAGGAGGUAUCGACCCCUCCUGUGCCGCAGCUAACGCAUUAAGUGCCCCGCCUGGGGAGUACGGCCGCAAGGUUGAAACUUAAAGGAAUUGGCGGGGGA